rnacentral:rRNA from 1 species
UACGUAGGUGGCGAGCGUUGUCCGGAUUUACUGGGCGUAAAGGGUGCGUAGGCGGAUGUUUAAGUGGGAUGUGAAAUCCCCGGGCUUAACCUGGGGGCUGCAUUCCAAACUGGAUAUCUAGAGUGCAGGAGAGGAAAGCGGAAUUCCUAGUGUAGCGGUGAAAUGCGUAGAGAUUAGGAAGAACACCAGUGGCGAAGGCGGCUUUCUGGACUGUAACUGACGCUGAGGCACGAAAGCGUGGGUAGCAAACAGG